rnacentral:rRNA from 1 species
GUCCACGCGGUAAACGAUGACGACUAGGUGUGGGGGGGUUAAGUCCCUUCCGUGCCGCAGCUAACGCAUUAAGUCGUCCGCCUGGGGAGUACGGCCGCAAGGUUGAAACUCAAAGGAAUUGACGGGGGCCCGCACAAGCGGUGGAGCAUGUGGUUCAAUUCGAUGCAGAGCGAAGAACCUUACCUGGGCUUGACAUGUAGGAAGUAGAAACCCGAAAGGGGGACGACCUGUUAAGUCAGGAGCCUACACAGGUGGUGCAUGGCUGUCGU